rfam:Schistosoma mansoni, Puerto Rico, WGS project CABG01000000 data, contig: 0237
AUCCAGCUGACGAGUCCCAAAUGGAACGAAACGCGCGUCAAACUGGAU